UGAUAAACCUUGACACUCUGCGUCUCGCACGAGGCAAUAUCCGAAUCUGACGUCCGUUUUUCUUCGUAUAAAUAAACGCCGUACGGAUAGUUUGCCCACUGCCCUGCUACCAGACCGCUACAGAUAUUCCUACCUCACUCCGAAAAAGACAGCGAUUGCACCAUGAAUGCAUUCGGAAUCACCGUGUGCUUUGGACUUUUAGCAACAGCAUGUGCAGCCACACUGUAAGUAUAUAAGCAUCCUGAUUGGUCAUCCAUCCCAUUUCUGCAUUUGGUGAAAUUUUCUGUUUAAAAAUAUUUUCUUUACAAUCGAGCAUGCUUAUUUCCUUCUUUCUAUCAAAAAUUGUGGGCAUAAAUGUAAGCUAAUGUUUAUUUUAUUUUUCAGUGAGUCCCCGGAAAGUGAUCAUGCUCUUCAGCAAGCCGAGCAAGACAAAAAGCUCCAGGCUUCCGUCACCCUGCUUUGCGAAUCAGUGAACAGAUGGAUUGAAAGUAACGUGGGAUUAGAGCCGACCGAGUUACACCAGCGACUCGAGAGGCUAGUCGACGAGGCUGUGAAAGAACAUGAAGUGCUCGUCGCCCUUGAGGAUGAGGACGACGCGGAAGCCGACAGUGAUGCCGGUGAGCGAGUACGGACUUGGCAAGAAGUUGAAGAAGUGGAGGAAGAAGGCGAAGAAGGCCCUGGUCAACGCUGCGAAGGUGGUCGCUGUAAACAAGGUGGUCGGUGCCGCAGCUGGCGCUAUGGGAUGAAGAAUACCACGCUUGAAGCUGCAGCAAAAGAAGAACCGUCAGCUAUGAAAGGCAUUUUCCUUUGGUCUGCAAUGACUAAGGUCGUCGUGUGAUCUCGAUAAUGAA